rnacentral:rRNA from 1 species
GAUGAACGCUGGCGGCGUGCUUAACACAUGCAAGUCGAACGGUGAAGCAGGAGCUUGCUCCUGUGGAUCAGUGGCGAACGGGUGAGUAACACGUGAGCAAUCUGCCCUGGACUCUGGGAUAAGCGUUGGAAACGACGUCUAAUACCGGAUAAUGCAGCGGCACCGCAUGGUGAGGUUGUUAAAAUUUCGAUGUCUAAGGAUGAGCUUGCGUCUGAUUAGCUAGUUGGUGAGGUAACGGCCCACCAAGGCUGCGAUCAGUAGCUGGUCUGAGAGGAUGAUCAGCCACACUGGAACUGAGACACGGUCCAGACUCCUACGGGAGGCAGCAGUGAGGAAUAUUGGGCAAUGCCCGCAAGGGUGACCCAGCAACGCCGCGUGGAGGAUGAAUGCCGUAAGGUUGUAAACUCCUGUUAGAGGGGAAGAAUAAUUCCGAUUGCAUCGGAACUUGACUGUACCCUCAGAGAAAGCCCCGGCUAACUACGUGCCAGCCGCCGCUGUAAUAC